GGGCGCAUAGCUCAGUGGUAGAGCACGACUCUUAUAAAGUCGGGGUCCUUGGUUCGAUCCCAAGUGCGCCCACCC
rnacentral:tRNA from 5 species